AGAAGCCCAUCUUGCAAACACACUCCGCACCGGCAGCUUGCAUCUUACACUCGGAAUUGUUACCGCAAGCAGGGUUGCACUCAGUUUGGAGUUUCGCUGUAAAGUGCAAUGGAUUGAUGCGAAGAAUAAACAAGGGAAGCUUAAAACUCUUAUACAUGCGUUGUCUACGAGAACUUAAAGAAAAUCCAAUAAGAGUCAAGAAACUUGUUUCCCAUUCAAGCAUUCAAGACCCAUGGUAGAGUAGAGUGCUUACGGAUGCAGGUCUUGCCAUUGCCUUCGAAUCCCUUGAGACAGCGACAGACGAAAGAACCAAGAACAUUGGUGCACAGCGCGUUGGCGUCACAGUCAUCCGUCUUAUUGGUGCAUUCAUCGAUGUCUAGAAUGAAACACGGGCGCAUUAUUCUUUACGUUGUCAAUCAAGCCAUGAAGGAGGGGGGGGGGGGCUACUAGACUAGGGGUUCAUGUAGACAUCGUUAGGAAUGAGGAGCUCGUCGAAUAACUAAAAGCUUAUAGAUACGAUAGCUAACUCUGUCGCUGUUUUAUUAAUGCACACGCAUGCUCGAUGACCCAUCAGAAUUUGCAGGCGUCAUCUACUCUCGGCCAAAAAUAGAAAGCGCGGGAUCACAUGCAGUUUUACGUAUGCAUGCUCAAUGAUCUAUAGAGAAAGAAAAAUAAAUAAAACGAGAGUUGCUACCCUAAA